CAGAUGUAGGGUUUCUCAAUACAAAUUGUAGAAUAAUUAAGGGUUAGUAUGCUACUAACCAAGAAAUGCAAUUGCUUGCUUUACGAAAUGGCGGCAAGUUAAUCACCUUCCUCUUUAAAAUCCCAUAAAUUAUUAUGAAAUAAAUAACUUGCAGAACCAAACAAAGCUUCCGAGCACAAAUUAUGGCAAACGGUAAGCACUGUAAUCAAUUUCCGGAACAUUAACUACUCUACGCUAUGUCGCGUUAAAUUUCAAAACAAAUAUAUUUAAAUUACCAAGACUUUAUGAACAGUCGGCUGCCGACUGACUCUCUUGCUUAAACUCAAUCCAGUAAUUUUCUGAAAGUAUCCAUGCCAUAUUGGGUUCUACGUUGGCGUUUUUUAAGAAAGCAAUCUUUCUACUUUUCAUCAUAGAAUUUAAACAAUGGAGCCAUACGCUAGUGUUGUUUUCUUUUUGACUAGCACUUUAUAUCAAUGUUAUUGGGCCAUUCUAUUUUUAGAGUACGAAAGCUUUCGAAGUACAUUUAGCAUAGUUUGCUUACCAUUAGUGGAAAUUACAAUUAUUUUUGAAAUUUGCGAACAGUCAAAAUUUUACAUCCUUUAAAUGAAUAAUUCAAAAUAUUUUGUGUUUUUCUAAUUUAUAAAUGAUAGAGUUUAAAGCAAGUGUUUGUGUAUCUCGUCAGAUUCAGAAAAACUAUAUAAACACAUCCUGAAAUUUUCAUUAAUUCAGGCAUAUGAUGAGAACAUAUAUUUUUAUCUGAAAAAAAUUGUUGAAUAAAAAUUUAUGCGUUAUCUUUCUGAUGCCACAGAAGUAAAUAUAUAUUUUUUACUCUCAAUAAUUAC